CUUUGACUUCUGACCCAUGUUAAAGAAAAGCCAAGGAAAAGCUGACAGAGAGCGAAACCUUGAUGAGACUGCAGCUGUUCCCUCAGUAUCCUUGCAGAAACAGGAGGAAAUGUGGAUGGGAUGGAUGGAUUGCAGGAAAGGAAGCAAAAAAUAAACUGCCAAGACAGAAAGUUUCACCCAAGAAAAGGUGAAGAGGAUCACAGCAAACACAGCAAUUCAGAUCUCGGCUGUUGGAAGAGUUACAGAAUAAAUAUACGGUAGUGCUGACAUUCAGUGCUGUUUUAUCUUAGCAAAGAGUUUUUAAUAAAGAAAAUUCUUUUCAAGGAAUGCUUUCUGCA
rnacentral:lncRNA from 1 species